AAUCGCGACGGGGGGAUCCCAAGUGCCAUUCUUAACGGGAUGGCUUUUCAUUAGUGUAAAGAGCUUUUGGAAUAAGAGCUGGGCAAGACCGGUGCCAGCCGCCGCGGUAACACCGGCAGCUCUAGUGGUAACAGUUUUUAUUGGGCCUAAAGCGUCCGUAGCCGGUUUAAUAAGUCUCUGGUGAAAUCCUGUAGCUUAACUGUGGGAAUUGCUGGAGAUACUAUUAGACUUGAGACCGGGAGAGGUUAGAGGUACUCCCAGGGUAGAGGUGAAAUUCUGUAAUCCUGGGAGGACCGCCUGUUGCGAAGGCGUCUAACUGGAACGGUUCUGACGGUGAGGGACGAAAGUUAGGGGCGCGAACCGGAUUAGAUACCCGGGUAGUCCUAACUGUAAACGAUGCGGACUUGGUGUUGGGGUGGCUUUGAGCUGCUCCAGUGCCGAAGGGAAGCUGUUAAGUCCGCCGCCUGGGAAGUACGGUC
rnacentral:rRNA from 1 species